rnacentral:misc_RNA from 1 species
GAUGAAGAACGUAGCGAAAUGCGAUAAGUAAUGUGAAUUGCAGAAUUCAGUGAAUCAUCGAAUCUUUGAACGCACAUUGCGCCCGCCAGUAUUCUGGCGGGCAUGCCUGUUCGAGCGUCAUUUCAACCAUCAAGCCCUGCUUGCGUUGGGGUCCUGCGGCUGCCCGCAGGCCCCGAAAACCAGUGGCGGGCUCGCUAGUCACACCGAGCGCAGUAAUACAUCUCGCUUUGGGCGUGCGGCGGGUUCUUGCCGUUAAACACCCCCUUUUUACCAAGGUUGACCUCGGAUCAGGUAGGAAUACCCGCUGAACUUAAGCAUAUCAAUAAGCGGAGGA